UACAGAGGUCCCAAGCGUUGUUCGGAUUCACUGGGCGUAAAGCGUGCGCAGGCGGUUCUAUAAGACAGAUGUGAAAUCCCCGGGCUCAACCUGGGAACUGCAUUUGUGACUGUAGAGCUGGAGUACGGUAGAGGGGGAUGGAAUUCCGCGUGUAGCAGUGAAAUGCGUAGAUAUGCGGAGGAACACCGAUGGCGAAGGCAAUCCCCUGGACCUGUACUGACGCUCAUGCACGAAAGCGUGGGGAGCAAACAGG
rnacentral:rRNA from 1 species